CCUACGGGAGGCAGCAGUGGGGAAUUUUGGACAAUGGGCGCAAGCCUGAUCCAGCCAUGCCGCGUGAGUGAAGAAGGCCUUCGGGUUGUAAAGCUCUUUCGGCCGGGAAGAAAUCGGCGACUCUAACAUAGUCGCUGGAUGACGGUACCGGACUAAGAAGCACCGGCUAACUACGUGCCAGCAGCCGCGGUAAUACGUAGGGUGCGAGCGUUAAUCGGAAUUACUGGGCGUAAAGCGUGCGCAGGCGGUUUUGUAAGACAGAGGUGAAAUCCCCGGGCUUAACCUGGGAACUGCGUUUGUGACUGCAAGGCUAGAGUAGGGCAGAGGGGGGUGGAAUUCCUGGUGUAGCAGUGAAAUGCGUAGAGAUGUGGAGGAACACCAAUGGCGAAGGCAGCCCCCUGGGUCGAUACUGACGCUCAUGCACGAAAGCGUGGGGAGCAAACAGGAUUAGAUACCCCUGUAGUCCAC
rnacentral:rRNA from 1 species